GUUGGGAAUGGGCAUGAAAUGUAAUCCUGGCCAACGUGACACGAGUGGAAGCCCACUGGAAGGCCUCCAAGAGAGAAAAGAUUCUUCAGUCCUAAAGAUGAGAUGAGGAAGAAACAGUCCCUUUUCAGGUAAUGCUGAACAUGACACUUCACACUGCUACAGUCACCUUACAGCAAGCCUGAAGAUGCCACCAACAUCAAAAAGGGCAGAAUGGAGAACUGGCAAGUACCUUGGUCCUUGGUGACAGCAUUAAAUGAUUAUAUCAAACAAUCCUGACAUCUGCAAGACUUCUGGACUUCCAGCUACAUGAGACCAAGGUGAGGUAACUGAGGCACAGAGAGGCACACAGUAAGUGCAGAGCUGAAAUCUGAAUCUAGGAGACUCACUGCAGAGUCCAUGUUCUGUAUCACAACUCUACAGUGCCUUUCAGAAAUGACGACAGGAAGCCAGGAGGGACCACUACCACCACAGCCGGGGAGAACGGUCCAUGGCGUCAAAGACCACAAGGAGGCCUCAGAAGAUAAGUGCAGAAAGGGAUGACUCUGUAAGGGCAGGUACAGUGGAACACAUAGGAAGAAGCUACACAAAUACUUCAUUGGCAAAGGGACCAGUGGUCGCAGUUCAAGGGUUUUGCGUUCGUAAAGUGAGAGACUUGAGUGUGUUUAUAAGCUGAGGGACAAGAGCCAACAGGGAAUGGGAGGGUGAAAAUGGGUUGGGAAAAGGUACAAAUGACAGCCAGAGGUCCCUACAAGGAGGAAGAAAACAGCUCAAGAGACCAGAGAGGUGGCCUAGUAUAAGAAGAAACAAAUACAGGGACAGUGUUGGGCCCAAGAAGAGUCCCUUCCCUGACAGGCUCUGUGCUCUAUGACCGAAGAGGCAAAGUCACUGGGGGAAAGAGGUUUUCUCUGUAAGCAAGGCAGAUGUUCCACUUCUGAAGAAGCCCCCCCAGUCAGAUGCUUUUAAAGGAACUUCCCUGGUGGCACAAUAGAUAAGACUCUGCGCUCCCAAUGCAGGGGGGGCCCAGGUUCAAUCCCUGGUCAGGGAACUAGAUCCCACGUGCAUGCCACAACUAAGGAGCCCGUGUGCCACAAACAAGGAGCUGGCAAGCCGCAACUAAGGAACCCACAAGCCGCAACUAAGGAACCCACAAGCUGCAACUAAGGAGCCCGCCUGCCGCACCUAAGGAGCCCGCCUGCAGCAGCUAAGACCAGGUGCAACCAAAUAAAUAAAUAAUUUUUUU